rnacentral:lncRNA from 1 species
UAACUUUCUCUUAUGUGUUUGUGUAUUUUGUUUCGGGUUUUAAUUCUGUUAGUAAGCCUCUUGCCAUACCUAUUCGUCUAUCUACCCCAAUAGGUAUUCUUUAGUGGUGGAUCAGGUGUAUCGAUCUUGUGUUGUGACUUUUGCCCGCCGUGAGACUUUAGUAGAUUUUCUUGUAUUAGAUAUGGUUGAUUUUGAUGUUAUUUUAGGCAUGGAUUGGUUGGCUCUUAUCAUGCUAUCUUAGAUUGAUUUGCUAAGACUAUGACUUUAGCUUCGCCGGGUAUGCCAAGGAUAGCCUGGAAGGGUGCACUUCAUUCGGUUCCUAAGAGAAUUAUAUCUUAUAUUCAGGCUCGUAAAUUAGUUGAGAGCGGAU